UACGUAGGGUGCAAGCGUUGUCCGGAAUUAUUGGGCGUAAAGAGCGUGUAGGCGGCCCGAUUAGUCCGCUGUGAAAGUCCAGGGCUCAACCCUGGAAUGCCGGUGGAUACUGUCGGGCUAGAGUCCGGAAGGGGCGAGUGGAAUUCCUGGUGUAGCGGUGAAAUGCGCAGAUAUCAGGAGGAACACCAAUGGCGAAGGCAGCUCGCUGGGACGUUACUGACACUGAGGCGCGAAAGCGUGGGGAGCGAACAGG
rnacentral:rRNA from 1 species